rnacentral:rRNA from 13 species
UUCCGUAGGUGAACCUGCGGAGGGAUCAUU